AAUCUGCCUUUAGGACGGGGACAACAGUUGGAAACGGCUGCUAAAACCCGAUGUGCCCUUCGGGGUGAAAUAUUUAUAGCCUGAAGAUGAGCUCGCGUCCGAUUAGCUAGUAGGUGAGGUAAAGGCUCACCUAGGCGACGAUCAGUAACUGGUCUGAGAGGAUGACCAGUCACACUGGGACUGAGACACGGCCCAGACUCCUACGGGAGGCAGCAGUGGGGAAUUUUCCGCAAUGGGCGCAAGCCUGACGGAGCAAUACCGCGUGAGG
rnacentral:rRNA from 1 species